CGCGGUAUACGAAGGGGCUACGUUGCUCGGAAUCACUGGGCGUAAAGGGCGCGUAGCGGCUUGCCAAGUCGGGGGUGAAAGCCCGUGGCUCAACCACGGAAUGGCCUUCGAUACUGGCAGGGCUUGAGACCGGAAGAGGACAGCGGAACUGCGAGUGUAGAGGUGAAAUUCGUAGAUAUUCGCAAGAACACCAGUGGCGAAGGCGGCUGUCUGGUCCGGUUCUGACGCUGAGGCGCGAAAGCGUGGGGAGCAAACAGGAUUAAUACCCUGGUA
rnacentral:rRNA from 1 species